GAUGUACACUUUCCUUCUCAGCUUUGUCCCCCAUAUGAUGUCACAGCCCCCUGGUUCCACUUGCUGUAUGGGUUCUUGUUUCCCAAGAUGACAGCCAUCAAAGGAUGGCUGGGCAGCUGCUCAGAUCUCCCUGCCAUUGGGAGCUAGAGCCUUGUGUGCGUUAAAGCUUUCCUGCUCCUCAGUAGUUCAGAUAGCUUUGUGUCUGGCAGCAAGUGCAAUAAAACACUUGUAAAUACCCCAGAAUGAGGAUCAUUACAGAUGGCACUGAUAUGCACCAGGCUCACGUGGAAGUUCUUGUAUCACUGCAUGAAGGAAAAUGAAGAAGAUAGGAAUGAUAAGCUUGAAGUUUUCCUGAGCCUAUGUGACAGGCUCUGAAGCCAGCUGCUUGUGUGAACUGGUUAAAAGAAAACCACCACCAACAAAACUCCAUGUGCAGAUGAGCCAAACCUGUGAAGAAAAUCAGCAUCAGUGCUUACAUAACCUAACAUAUGCCCAGGGAUGUAAAUGCUGGUUGAAAUACUAUGAGUGCGUGUUUCCCUUUGGUGUGAAGGCCAAGAAGAUUGCUGAUCAGUCACUU
rnacentral:lncRNA from 1 species